CCUACGGGUGGCAGCAGUAGGGAAUUUUCGUCAAUGGGCGCAAGCCUGAACGAGCAAUGCCGCGUGAACGAGGAAGGUCUUCGGAUCGUAAAGUUCUGUUGAAGGGGAAAAAGAGCGGAGAGAGGAAAUGGUCUCCGAUUGAUAUUACCCUUCGAGGAAGUCACGGCUAACUACGUGCCAGCAGCCGCGAUAAUACGUAGGUGGCGAGCGUUAUCCGGAAUGAUUGGGCGUAAAGGGUGCGUAGGCAACCUGCUAAGUCUGGAGUGAAAGGUACCGGCUCAACCGGUACAGGCUCUGGAAACUGGCGGGCUAGAGAGCAGGAGAGGGCGGUGGAACUCCGUGUGUAGCGGUAAAAUGCGUAGAUAUAUGGAAGAACACCAGUGGCGAAGGCGGCCGCCUGGCCUGUUACUGACGCUGAGGCACGAAAGCGUGGGGAGCAAAUAGGAUUAGAUACCCCUGUAGUC
rnacentral:rRNA from 1 species